UGGGGAAUUGUUCACAAUGGGCGCAAGCCUGAUGACGCAACGCCGCGUGGGGGAUGAAGGUCUUCGGAUCGUAAACCCCUGUCGAAUGGGACGAAAGACUCGCGAGUGAAUACUUCGCGAGAGUGACGGUACCGUUAAAGGAAGCCACGGCUAACUCUGUGCCAGCAGCCGCGGUAAUACAGAGGUGGCAAGCGUUGUUCGGAAUUACUGGGCGUAAAGGGCGCGUAGGCGGCAAUUCAAGUCAUCUGUGAAAUCUCCGGGCUUAACUCGGAACGGUCAGAUGAUACUGCUUUGCUAGAGUGCAGAAGGGGCAAUCGGAAUUCUUGGUGUAGCGGUGAAAUGCGUAGAUAUCAAGAGGAACACCUGAGGUGAAGACGGGUUGCUGGGCUGACACUGACGCUGAGGCGCGAAAGCCAGGGGAGCAAACGGGAUUAGAUACCCACGUAGUCCCUGAGCGGGCUGGCAAGGCGCAU
rnacentral:rRNA from 1 species